ensembl:lncRNA
AUUUCUGUGAAAGAUGCUAUUGGGAUUUUGAUAGGGGCUGCAUGGAAACUGUAGAUUGCUUUAGGAUCUGAAACUUACCAUCUCGGAAAAUGAAGUCCGAAUACUACUGAGCUAGAGCAUGGCCGAGUUGAAGUGUAAGAGCAGGUUCCACAUAUGAAUGAAAACAUAUUUGUCUUUCUAAGGGUAUCUUAAUGCAAUGUAAGUCUACAUAGAAAUGAAAAUGGAUGACUACUAGUACUGUACAAACUCCUAGUAUGUUCACCUAUAUGAAUGAAUAUCAUAAACAUAAUUUAGAGUAAAAGAAGUCAGUCACAACAGAGCAUGUACUCUAUUCAUACAAUUUUUUGCAAUAGGCAAAACCAAAUCUGUUGGGAUAAAAAUUAGGAAAGUGCUUACCUUUAUCAAGGUACAGUAAUAAAUGAGUGGAGAAAUGAGGGCAAGCCUUUCACUUCUACAAAUAUUCACUAUCUUGAUGCUGUUGGC